rnacentral:tRNA from 2 species
GUGGCCGCUGCGGCGGAUCGCGCUGCCUUCGGUGCGGCGCAGGAACUCGUCUUCGUCCCAGGCGAACAGCUGCGCCA